UCUGAAUCUGCGNACGGCUCCGCAAACCAGUUGUAAACUACAGCAAGCAAGCACGGGGGGUUGGCCUUCACGGGUCGGUCCCUCGGGCGAUAUGGAUAACCCUGGUAAUUCUGAGGCUAAUACAAGAACGUAACCCCUGGUUGACUGAGCCCUCGCCCUCGGGUGGGGAUACUUGGGAGGCUGGGAAGCGUGCGAGUACUAAUGCGAAUGAGAACCGGGAAUGGGCGCACGCUUGGACCGCGCUACAAAGGAUCAUUACUCGGCAAUCCCUCCGGGGUGCGCUUUGUUUUGGCCCUAGCGGCUCUUGCGGUGUGCUUCUGACCUAUCAACUAGACGGCAGCGUAACGGACAUGCUAUGGCACAACGGGUACAG
rnacentral:rRNA from 1 species